rnacentral:rRNA from 1 species
GACGAACGCUGGCGGCGUGCUUAACACAUGCAAGUCGAACGGAAAGGCCCUGCUUUUGUUGGGUUCUCGAGUGGCGAACGGGGGAGUAACACGUGAGUAACCUGCCCUUGACUUUGGGAUAACUUCAGGAAACUGGGGCUCAUAUCGGAUAGGAUCUCCUGCUGCAUGGUGGGGGUUGGAAAGUUUCGGCUGUUGGGGCUGGUCUCGCUGCUUAUCAGCUUGUUGGUGGGGUAGUGGCUUACGAAGGCUUUGACGGGUAGGCGGCCUGAGAGGGUGACCGGCCACCUUGGGACUGAGAUACGGCGCAGACUCCUACGGGAGGCAGCAGUGGGGAAUAUUGCACAAUGGGCGGACGCCUGAUGCAGCAACGCCGCGUGCGGGAUGACGGCCUUCGGGUUGUAAACCGCUUUCGCCUGUGACGAAGCGUGAGUGACGGUAAUGGGUAAAGAAGCCACGGCUAACUACGUG